GUCGUUUAGUUCAAAAGUACAGACGUCCAGCGGCCUUCCGGGACUCUUGGACUGAGGAGAAGGAGCCAACGGAAUAAACGCGAGUCUUCACGCUACCUACACACUUUCAAUACAAAGAAAACAUAAUGGAGCUGCAAAAGGCGGCAGCAGCUAUGGAGCAGGUUGUCUCAACACUGAUGUGUCCACCAGCAGCUACAUGUGGGUGCAUGUGGUGGAGUGUCAUUGGAUGUGGCAAGGCAGGUGGUGUGUGCUGAUUGGGCUGUCAAAGAUGAUUGCUGCCACAGGAUUGGCCCUCUGCAAGACAGAAGCUUUUUAAACCACUAGUUGAAAGAAGCCCUUCCCUCUUCUGCACUCUUCCACCUCCAACAGAGCCAGAACCUUGACUUUGUGAGAUUGUUUGUUUGAGUGCCUGUGGACAAAACUUCUUAUGUGUUAAAUAGUGUGGGCUCUUGAUUAUUUUGUUACUUGGGAAAGAAAUGUGACCAAUUUUGAGUAGCUGAGUUUACUUUUGUUUAACAGGUUACUUUUUAGAAUUAUUAAUGUGUUUUUGUGUAUUCUGUUGUGAACACUGUAAAUACACAGGGUUCCUACGCAAUUAUGGAAUUUGAUUUUAUAAAUUUCCAGGUCUGGAAAAGUAUGGAAAAUGAAAACUAUUGUGUGGAAAAAUGUUUUUGUUUUCAAGAUUGCUACCACGGUUCUGUUUUCUAAAACAUAAAAUUAAGAAUAUCUGAAAAAGAAAUGGAUGGAUCUUGUUUUUCAAGGCUAAUGCCUCGUACACCCUACACAACUUUUCUGCCCGUUCUGAAAGUCACUAUGUCACAUUACCCAAUUGUGGAGUCAAAUGUUUCACAAUAAAGGCUUAUUUAGGAAAUGGAGGGAUUCUAUCAGCUGAGGUUAUAAGGUGCUUUUAAUUUGAAAAAGGUACAGGAAGUGUUGAGUUUGAAAUGAUGGCGCAAUGCAUUAACUUUAUGAAGCCAAUGGGAGUGGAUAAAAAGUUAAAAUAUAAAGAUACAGAGGGUUUAAUAAAUGACGAACCAUCUAUGAUGUAGCCUCUUUCAAAUGAAGCUAGUAGCCUCUGCAGUUGUGGUGAGUCAAAGCCCCGCCACUAUUUUUUAAAUUUUCUUACUUUAUGUCCGUCUCCAUUAUGAACAAAUAACAUUGUUUGCUAGCUAGGAUUUUUUUUACCGAGAAUUAUCUUAAUUUUUUUAAACAAGAAAUCUGGAAAUUAGUGUCUGGGGAAAAGUAUGGAAUUUUGAAAUUUAGGCGACAUUUCACAUUUGAAAUGUGAAGGAACCCUGAAUACAGCACUUUAAGAUGUUUUUUAGUAAGAGUGAGAAGCCCUUUUUGUUUGGCAUUCCAUGUUCUUUUCUCUUGUUUAAAAUGGUAGAAGUUUAGGUUAAAAAUUUGUCUUUUGUUUCACACUUGUUUUUUGUUGGGGACAUUCAGGAACCAUGAGUUUUUUUUCUUUGUUGUUUUAGGCACAGCUAAGCUCUGGAGACAAAAUAAUAAAUAAAUAGUAUGUCAAAAAAUAAAUAAAAGUCAUAGUAUAGUAUGUUAUCCAAAAUCAUGGAAAAAAAGUCAUAGUAUAGUAUGUCGUCCAAAACCAUUAAAAAAAAGUCAUAGUACAGUAUGUCGUCCAAAAUCAUGAAA